GUAGUCCACGCUGUAAACGAUGGGUACUAGGUUUGGCGGGUCUUGACCCCUGCCGAACCGCAGCUAACGCAAUAAGUACCCCGCCUGGGAAGUACGGUCGCAAGACUAAAACUCAAAGGAAUUGACGGGGGCCCGCACAAGCGGUGGAUCAUGUGGUUUAAUUCGAAGCAACGCGAAGAACCUUACCUGGAUUUGACAUCCUCUGACAAACGUAGAGAUACGUCUUUCGUAGCAAUACGACAGAGAGACAGGUGCUGCAUGGCUGUCGUCAGCUCGUGUGGUGACAUGUUGGGUUAAGUCCCGCAACGAGCGCAACCCUUGUCCUUAGUUGCCAGCAUUCAGUUGGGCUCUCUAAGGAGACUGCCGUGGUGAACACGGA
rnacentral:rRNA from 1 species